rnacentral:rRNA from 1 species
CAGGCGCGAAAACUUCGCAAUGGGGGAAACCCCGACGAGGGAAUUCCAAGUGCCAGCACUUUGUGUUGGCUGUUCUUCUGUCUAAAAAACAGGAGGAGUAAGGGGCGGGUAAGACGGGUGCCAGCCGCCGCGGUAAUACCCGCGCCCCCAGUGGUGGUCGAUAUUAUUGAGCCUAAAACGUCCGUAGCCGGUCUUCUAAAUCCUUGGGUAAAUCGGGCAGCUCAACUGUCCGAAUUCCGGGGAGACUGGGAGACUUGGGACCGGGAGAGGUCAGAGGUACUUCUGGGGUAGGGGUAAAAUCCUGUAAUCCUGGAAGGACCACCGGUGGCGAAGGCGUCUGACUAGAACGGAUCCGACGGUGAGGGACGAAGCCCUGGGGCGCAAACGGGAUUAGAUACCCCGGUAGUCCAGGGUGUAAACGCUGCGGGCUUGGUGUUGGGGGUCCUUAGUGGGCGCCCAGUGCCGGAGAGAAGCUGUUAAGCCUGC